AAGGCUCUCCUGCUCAGAUUUCAUCUUUGUAUGAUUUUCAGAUGUCUUUAUACGCACAUGGGAUGAUACUCUUUCUCUCUCUGUCAUUCUCUUCCAGUUUGUACAGUGAGUCUAUGCAGAAUCAUACAAACCCUGUGAAACUAAGGUUGGAUACUGCGUUGAUAAGAAGUAGAUGUUGUUCAGUUCCACUUCUUAAACAGCAACCUACUCGUAAGUAUCUUCAAGAGUUAUUUCUCUCUUGUAAUUUUAGUAGCUCAAAUAGACUUACUUCACUAUUUAAUAUCAACACAUGCUAUUUAAUAUAAACAUACCUUGUUUUAAAUAUGAUUUAAAACAAGAGGUACUGUGGGUUUUUGUUUGUUUGUUUCUUGGGGGUAAACACUCUGGAUCUAAUCCAGACUGCUUAACUGAAAACUUUCAUUGAUGGAAAUAGUAGUCAUACUUAAAGUCAAGUUUGUAUGUGCUUUCAGUAUUGUAGCUUUUAAAAUGUGUUGUGUUUAUUCAGGAUCAGUUCCUUCCUAAUGAUUAGGAGAAGUUUCUUUACUGAAGUGUCAUUGGAAUAGGCUGCCCAAGCAAGUGUUCGCCAUCCCUGGAGGUCUUCAAGAAAUAUGUAGGUUUAGAACUUAGAAGCAUGGUUUAAUGGUGGACUCGCAUACUAGGUUAAAGGUUGGACUAGAUGAUCUUAGAGUUUUUGUUUUGUUUUGUUUUUCCAGUCUGAAUGAUUCUCUGAUUCUAUGUUGGAAGUAGUGUGUUUCCCAAAACCAUGUUUCAGCAUUUCUCAUUUGAUUGUCUGUAAAAUCCUGAGAUACUUUCUAAGAAUUGAUUUAGAUUUUGUAUUUUAUAGGUCCUGAUCCCUCAACUGAAAUAUUUAAUAGGCUUAUGUCUGGGAGUAGUAGUUUAAAAAUAAAAAUAAAAAAAAAGUGUUAAUGAAAUCUGUU
rnacentral:lncRNA from 1 species